rnacentral:rRNA from 1 species
CGUGUUUGACAGAGUAACGGAUAACGUAUAAUUAUGACAACUUUUAACAAUGGAUCUCUUGGCUCUUGCCCCGAUGAAGAACGCAGUCAAGUGCGAAAUGUAAUGCGAUUUGCAUGAAUCUGUGAGUCAUCUAAUCUUUGAACGCAACUUGCACCAUCCAGAGAUGGAUGGUAUGUCUGUUUGAGUACGACAACCGUAAUGCGCUUCGGUGCGAUGUGGUCCACAAAGUGGGCUGAAAAUGAGCCAGUCAGGCUGGACGGUCUGGCAGUGUGCUAGGGACGUAAGGAGUGUGGGAGUGGGCGGUGUAGGGUGGGAGUGGAUCGGGUGUGCUAUGCAUAUCUGUGACACGCCCGCCUUUAACGCCACCUGCUCGCACGCUCACGGUCUUGUCGCUGCCGGCGCCAACCAGCCAUCACUCUUUCAAUACGUCUCAAAUCAGGCAAGAAGACCCGCUGAACUUAA